UCUCCGUUGGUGAACCAGCGGAGGGAUCAUUACAGAGUUUUUAACUCCCAAACCCAUGUGAACCUACUAUUUUGUUGCCUCGGCGGGUUCUGCCUCCCAUCUCGGGAGCAGGCUCAAGCCCGCCGGUGGAUUUUCAAACUCUUGUUAUUUUAAUGUUAUCUGAGCGUCUUAUUUUAAUAAGUCAAAACUUUCAACAACGGAUCUCUUGGUUCUGGCAUCGAUGAAGAACGCAGC
rnacentral:misc_RNA from 1 species